rnacentral:rRNA from 1 species
CAGUAGGGAAUCUUCCACAAUGGGCGAAAGCCUGAUGGAGCAACGCCGCGUGUGUGAUGAAGGGUUUCGGCUCGUAAACACUGUUGUAAGAGAAGAAUGACAUUGAGAGUAACUGUUCAAUGUGUGACGGUAUCUUACCAGAAAGGAACGGCUAAAUACGUGCAG